rnacentral:rRNA from 1 species
GAUGAACGCUAGCUACAGGCUUAACACAUGCAAGUCGAGGGGAAACGACAUCGAAAGCUUGCUUUUGAUGGGCGUCGACCGGCGCACGGGUGAGUAACGCGUAUCCAACCUGCCCGUCACUUGGGGAUAACCUUGCGAAAGUAAGACUAAUACCCGAUAAUAUCUCUAGAAGGCAUCUGAAAGGGAUUAAAGAUUUAUCGGUGAUGGAUGGGGAUGCGUCUGAUUAGCUUGUUGCGGGGUAACGGCCCACCAAGGCAACGAUCAGUAGGGGUUCUGAGAGGAAGGUCCCCCACAUUGGAACUGAGACACGGUCCAAACUCCUACGGGAGGCAGCAGUGAGGAAUAUUGGUCAAUGGGCGAGAGCCUGAACCAGCCAAGUAGCGUGCAGGACGACGGCCCUAUGGGUUGUAAACUGCUUUUAUAAGGGAAUAAAGUGAGUCUCGUGAGACUUUUUGCAUGUACCUUAUGAAUAAGGACCGGCUAAUUCCGUG